UGACACACGGCGAGAGAGACAGAUGGAGAAAGUGAAAGAAUCCUGAGGAGAAAACGCGCGCGAGACUGAGGGGAGACACAUAAAACCGAGAGGGGAGUGUACAGCUGUGAUAGAGGGAGAGGAAGAGAAAGAAAGAGAGAGAGGAAGAGUGGAUGGUAGAGAGCGGGAGACACAGCGCGCGGGAGGGAGAAAGAUGGCCUCGGUCACGGCGGAGAAUGGCUUCAGCACCGCGAACAGCUCCGGCAGAAUGAACGGACUCAACAGCGCGAUUCCCAUGAAAGAUCACGACGCCAUCAAGCUCUUCAUCGGGCAGAUCCCGCGCAACCUGGAGGAGAAAGACCUCAAGCCGCUGUUCGAGGAGUUCGGCAAGAUCUACGAGCUCACGGUGCUCAAGGACCGGUUCACCGGGAUGCAUAAAGGAUGUGCCUUUCUAACGUACUGUGCCAGAGAGUCAGCGCUGAAGGCCCAGAGCGCUCUCCAUGAACAAAAGACUCUACCCGGGAUGAACCGGCCCAUCCAGGUGAAACCAGCCGACAGUGAAGGACGAGGAGAAGACCGGAAGCUGUUUGUGGGCAUGUUGGGAAAACAGCAGAGCGAAGACGACGUCCGGCGGCUGUUUGAGUCGUUCGGGCAGAUAGAGGAGUGCACCGUGCUGCGGGGGCCUGAUGGGGCCAGUAAGGGCUGUGCUUUUGUAAAGUUUUCCAGUCAUGCAGAAGCCCAGGCUGCUAUUAACAGUCUUCAUGGUGGACAGACGAUGCCGGGAGCAUCCUCCAGUCUGGUGGUGAAGUUUGCAGACACCGAUAAGGAACGAACCCUGCGCAGGAUGCAUCAGAUGGCGGGUCAGCUUGGCAUCUUCAGUCCCAUGACCAUCCAGUUUGGAGCAUAUGGAGCGUACACACACGCUCAGAUCAUGCAGCAGCAGGCAGCGCUCAUGGCGGCGACGCAGGGCUCGUAUCUGAACCCCAUGGCUGCGAUCGCCGCCGCUCAGAUGCAGCAAAUGGCAGCUUUCAACGUCAACGGUCUGGUGGCUGCGCCGAUGACGCCGUCUUCAGGCACCAGCACUCCACCAGGCAUCAGUGCCACGGCUGUGCCCAGCCUCGCAGCUCCCAUCGGGGUCAAUGGCUUCAGCGCCCUCCCUCACCAAACCAACGGACAGCCCACCUCCGAAACCAUCUACACCAACGGCAUCCAUCCGUACCCAGCACAAAGCCCGACAGUGGCGGACCCUCUCCAGCAGGCGUAUGCCGGUGUUCAGCACUAUGCAGCAGCCUAUCCUGCCGCGUACGCGCCGAUUAGCCAAGCGUUUCCCCAGCAACCAGCCAUCAUUCCCCAGCAACAGCGGGAAGGACCGGAGGGCUGUAACCUAUUUAUUUACCACCUGCCGCAGGAGUUCGGCGACGCGGAGCUCAUGCAGAUGUUUCUGCCCUUUGGCAACGUCAUUUCCGCCAAAGUCUUCGUGGACCGGGCCACCAAUCAGAGCAAAUGUUUCGGUUUCGUCAGCUUUGAUAACCCGUCCAGCGCUCAGGCGGCCAUUCAGGCCAUGAACGGUUUUCAGAUCGGCAUGAAGAGGCUCAAAGUUCAGCUGAAGCGGCCGAAGGACGCCAACCGCCCGUAUUGACCCUCACCUGACCGCUGCGACGAUCAUCACAGGGCUCAGGUAGCUCAGGACGGGCCGCUCUCUUAUGUAGCCACAUGUCUUCCAUCAGAGGACGCGUGUCCAGCGCUGAUGAAGGACUACAACACCUUAUUUCCACAAGUCAAAAGACUUUUGCUCUGCUACAUAUCACAGGAGGCGAGCGGUCCCUGGAUUUUGUGGGAAAAUCACUGAGAGCUGGAAAAACUGGAACACAAAGGAUUUUUUCUGCCAACUUUGUUCUUUUUUUCCGUCUUUUUUUGCUUCAGCAUUUGCAGGAUGCUUUUUUGCAUUUUGCAAAGACCAACUUUUUUGCUGCUGUCUUUUUUUUUUUUAGACAAGAUUGAGAAAAAAAAAACCUUUAUGAACACGUUAUGCUCAAAGCAUGCAUAAACAAACGGAUAUAUACAAAUGCACACACAAAUGCACAUCUGCUGAGAUGUUCGGAAAUAUUCUCGCCUUUACAUGCACACAUGCAGAUAUACAAAACUAUUUUGAAAUCCUCAUGUAAAUGUAUUGAUCUCUCUACACACACACACACACACACACACACACACACCAGCCUGCUGCCAUUUUGGUUUUCGUGCCUACACUGGUUUCGCGUGAUCUGCGCUCUGGAAGAGAAUCCAGGAAUAUCUACAUGCGUCAUUCCUUAGAAAAUAGGGACCAAAGGACUACACGCUUUUUAAAAGUAUAUAAAUAUAUAAAUAUAUAUAUUUAAAAAUCACAAAAACUCUUACCUUGUAGCUGCGAGUAUAAUGAUUACUAAUGUUAAAAGUAGAAGAAAGUAAAUCUGUAGGUCUGUAAAAACACAAGGAGAAAAAGACGGUCAUGUGACUCCGGUUUGCUCUGGUAGCUGUUUCUUGCACCAAGACGUAGAUUAGAAAAGUAGAAUAUAGGAGUAGAUUUGCUCAUUUUUCAUGUUUUCUAUUUAUUUUUAUUAGAGAAGAUAAUACUUGAACUUGUAAAGAAGGGAAGGAAAAUGUACAAACGAAAACAAAAGAGGUGAAGCGUCUCUUUCCUCGCCCGCUGGAUAAUAUCGUUCAUCAUGUUGUGCUCUUUCUCCAUUCCGCCAUUUGGAAGAAGAUGAACGGCCGGAACGGACGAGGAAAUGUGUCGUAGUCUGUCUGACAGGGUCCAGGAUCCCAGAAGCCUUUGUGUUUAAGCGACAAUCCACAGUCAGAUGAUCGGACGUGACGCGUGUUUUCCUUUCCAUGCUUUUUGUACUCUGAUAGAAAGACAGAUUCAGAUGCUUGGACUUUAAUGACACUAAACGGAGGAAGACGAGGAGGGUCGAUAGCUACUGAAACUGCCAAAUGAACCGAAGCUACGCGAAAGGAAACGGUGACAUUUUUGAUACCCCUUCACUUAAUGAGAUGUUUAUUGGUCUGUUGAAGCCAUUGCCUGUCUCAAACUUCUCAAAGCACUAAACGCACAUGAUCUCACUGCACAUCGAUCAUCAUUAGCAGUUAAAGAUGUUCAUCUGUGCUGUAAUCCAGUGUAAAUGCCUCCGUGAGCUCUCUGACCUACCUUCAUUUCAUCAGUGAUUCAUCUGAAUUGAUCAUAUCAUUCACAUUCUGCAAAAAAACGAUGUUCUUGCUUAGUACAAAUAUCUAAACAUGCUUAAUUUAAGAUAUAUUUAAUUGAGAAGCAAAAUGACUGAAAAUAUUAAGUCUUGUUUACUGAAUGUUUAUGCUUAAAGUGCCCUUAUUAUGCUUUUUCGAAUACCCCCUUUGAUGUAGUGUGUAAUAGAGCUGUUUGUGAAUGUAAAAGGUUUGCAAACAGGGCCUAAAAUUAACCAAAUGCAAGUAUAUGAAACGGUGUCAAUCGCCAGUUGGCCGGUAACAUUUUUAUGAAUUCUAACAAUGCAGUGUUGUGAGAACAUGAACGUGAACAACGCUCGGGACAUUGAUGGGCCAGCACUGCAUUUAAAUAUUCAAGCGCAAGAAGACGCGAAAGGGAACUCAGUUCGUUACUCGUGAAUGUUUUGAGUGUGCACACAUCUGAAGCACGCACGAAUACUAAAUUGAGCUCUCUUUCUCAUCUUCUUGCGCUUGAACGGACAAAUUCACACAAAAAUUAUGUCCAAAACAUGCUUGUCUUGGUGAGAAUCCUAGCAAACAUAGUCAUUAUGUUUUAAGUGAAUCUAAACAGUUGAGAAAGAAAACGCAUGUGUAUCAGUAUAUUGGAUCAGUGCAUUCGCUCUUAAAGUGACAGCAGCCUAAUAUUCCUGCUGUUGUCUGUUUUUAAUGUUAAUCAACAUUAAAAACACAUUUAAUAACUUUAAUAUGGUUUCAUUUAUGUUUAAUUUAUACAUUGAAGACUAUGCAGUGUUAUUUUACAUUUGAUUACUUGAUUAAAUUUCUGUACUUGAAAAUUGUGUCUAAAGUUUUGAUAUCAUAACUGCCUGUUUUUGCAAAAACAUGGCCGGUAAAAAAUAUUUAUGGUCAGUAAAUUUUCUUCAAUUAAAUUUUUUUAAAUAAAUUCUUGGCAAGUGUGGCAAAAAGUUAGUUUUAGGUCCUGUUUGCAAAGUUUCAAAGAUCAAAGUGCACAACAAAUAAAGUUAUUGUCCCCUAAAAGAAAGAAGUGAUUCUGAACUCUCGAGUCGUCAGUAAUUCCAACAUUUGUAACAAUGUAACAAAUUUGCAUAAUUCCCACCUGUGGUCUUCAUUGGCUGCCGGUGAACAGUGUUUACUUAGCCCCGCCCUCAAUCACUGUAGUUGUAUCUGAGACUGGAAGAGUUUGGUUCGUGUUGUUCAUGUCGAGAAGACGCUGUUUUCUGCUGACAAAGCAAAUCCACUUUGAUGAGAUUGAUUCGGUAAAACCGACGCCAUCGUUACUGUUCGUAUCACUGUGAAUCAAGAGCUGAGAUUCAGAUAUGAUAAUGAGUGUUUGCUUUCUGACCAAUCACAGCAGGGCCAUCUGACCAAUCAGAGAACUGUUUUUUAGACUCUUUGAAAUGAGUUGAUGCAGCAGUGGAUAUUAUGAGAAAAUUAAAGUGUUUUUUGACCUUGGAUGAAUGUGAACCUGUUGUAGGAGACUCGAAAACAAAAUUAGGUACCUUUAAAAUAGCAUAAUAGGGGCACUUUAGCAUAAUAAAAAAUUGAGUGAGGUCAGAAAAAUAAUCUUGUUUUCCCUUUGAAUUAAGUGUGAUGUUUUUGUGCAGUUUGCAUUUAGCCGCUGAUGAUCAGGCCUUAAAAACAACAGUUAUUCACCUCAAGAUUUGGCCACCAGAGAUUCAUUGGCAUCUUUGUUCCUCUUCCGUGUGUAGAUAUUAAGAAAUUAACAUUAUCCUCAUUCUUCCAUCUCAAAGUUAACAUUUCUCAAUGGGCAGGUCUUUAUCUAGUCAUCGACUGCGUACGACUAAGAUUGAGGAGAGAAAUCUGGGUGUCAAUGACCAAACCUGACCUCUUAACCUUCAUGCCAGCAUAUGAGACGUUGCUUUUAUCCUUUAAAAAAGACGCUCCCUCCAGGAUCCCAAAGGACCAAAACCAUGCAAUUUUGCCAUGCUGCCUGCCCUUGAACGGUGAUAUUAGUCUUGCUGUGAACGAUGUACAGAUAUUGAUGAGGUAAUGGCCUGCCCAUGUGUGCGUCAUCAUGAAACUGAAAACGUUCUUGUGAAAAUAGCUUUGGUCUCCCUAGAAUAAUUGUGUUGCAUUAUUCAUGAUUCCGAUUGUUUUUUGUCUCACCGAUCUUUGUAGCCAGUAUAGUUUUAUUCACUCUAUCCUGUGCUGAUAAAGCCACUUGCUGGAAAACAUUUCUUAAUCAUAACAAUUUGCACUAGUUAUAGUUAAAAACCUGCCAAUGUGUUUCAUGCGAGGGAGUGUCCGCAUUAUCAUUUUGUAUGAAUAUAUACGCCACAAAUUCCCAUCCCAGAUACUUGUUCUGGAUUUAUCAUGACCUUCAUGAAACUGAAGCGAAAGCUUUAGAUUAGUUUGUAAGAGGUUUAAGAAGUGCCAAAUGAAAUUUCACAAAUGUUCAUUUCACUUUUGCAUCCACAAUGCAAAAAAAAAAAAAAAAUUCUUCUUCAGUAUUUGUGUCUUGUUUUCCAGUGCAAGUAUCUAAAUAUUCUUAAAUCAAGAUACAUUUACCAGAGAAGCAAAAUGACUGAAGAUUAAGUCUUGUUUUCUGAAAAAUGAUAAAAAAUUAAGUGAGUUUUUAAAGAGCCCCGCACAUGACAUGCAUGAAGAAAUAUGUAUAUUGUGGCCACGGAUGAACAAAUCAUUCCUACGACUUACUAAUAUGUCAGCACGUUUACUAAUUCGCUCCCUCGUUUUACUAAAUUUUGCGCAAGAUAUAAUAAUUCGUUCCCUUGUUUUACUAAAUCAUGCGCACGAUAUAAUAAUUUGUUUCCUCGUUUUACAAAAUUUUGGCAGCAAUAUAAUUUAUUUCCUCGUUUUACUAAAUUGUUCACACAAUAAAAUUUAUUCCAUCGUUUUGCUAAAUUUUGUGCACAAUAUAAGAAUUCUUUCCCUCAUUUUACUAAAUCGUACACGUUAUUCGUUCCCACGUUUUACUUAAUUUUGGCAAUGAUUUAAUAAUUUGUUUCCUCAUUUUACUACAUUUUGGCAAUGAUUUAAUAAUUUGUUCCCUCGUUUUACUAAAUUUUGCACACAAUAUUAAAAUUAGUUUCCUCGUUUUACUACAUUUUGGCAACGAUUUAAUAAUUUGUUCCCUUGUUUUACUAAAUUUUGCACACGUUAUAAUAAUUCAUUCCCUUGUUUUAUUAAAUAUUGCGCACAAUGUAAUAAUUUGUUCCCUCGUUUUACUAAAUUUUGGCAACAAUAUAAUUCAUUCCCUCCUUUUACUAAAUCGUGCGCAGAUAUAAUAAUUUGAUCCCUUGUUUUAGUUAAAUCAAAAGAAGGGAACGAAUUAGUACAACGUGGCCACAAUUUACUAAAUCGAGGGAAUGAAUUAUUAAUUUGUGGUCACGAUAUAUAUAUUUGAGCUCCAUAUGUUUUUGCUUAAAACGAGAAAAUGUGUGUCAGUGUGGUCAGAAAAAUAAUCUUGUUUUCCCUUUGAAUUAAAGUUAUUUUUCUGACUGGAUUAGCAGAUAUUUGUUCUUGUUUUAAGCAGAAACUUAAUAUCUUCGGUCAUUUUGCUUCUCCAGUAAAUGUAUCUUGAUUUAAGAAUGUUUAGAUAUUUGUACUGGAAAACAAAAAAUACAGAGUAAGAAUACAGUAAAUGCACCAUUUUUAUUUUGAUAAAACACCUACUUGUGUUUAAUGACCCUGUGAUCAGCAAAGCACAGAUUAUUCUCAAGCACUGAAAUAGUUUGCUAAAGCACAGUAUUUUGCAGAUUUGCAGUACAUAUCAUCCAUUGUACGGUCUAGUUUCACACUGCUCAUGUCUCCUAGAAUAAGGAUGCUGUUUUAGUGGGGUUUGGUCUGUAAGAAACGAGGCCAGAACCUUUGUCAGGCGUCCAGGUUAAAGUGCCAUAUAUCUGUAGAGCAGAAGAACAUGCUAUAUUUAUCAGUGUUAAAUCAAGUGUCGUCUUCACACACUGUUCCUCUUGUUUCAGUUCACUGAGGAGUUUCAGUUAGAGAACGCUGCCAAUCCAUUGAGUUCAAUGGAAGGUGAAGGGUUUGUGAAAGUGCUCUAGUGAGUGAACGCCCUCAGAAUCAGGAGGAUUUCUUUUCUCUGUCUCAGUGCCAACGCAGUUAAAAGUGAAGAACACCAAAUCUAUGAGGUCCACUUCAUCUGUAUCGAGUGUGUGUGUGUAGCCUUUGUUCAAUCGUAUUUCUGUCAUGUGCACGCCUGAUCUGUGCAUUUGCAUUCAAGCUCGUGUCGAUGCUCCGGCGUUCGUUAAGAGGCCGUUCGGGGUUCGUUAAGGGGCUGCGGGAGUGCAGAUCGCUCCGGAGCAAAGAGCCCAUUUCCAGCGGAUGCCCGCAGGGCUCGACCGUCCCCGAAAAUAGCUGAUUGUCAAGAGAAGGAAGUCAAAUGUAAUUGACUAAAAGUCAAGAAAUAAUUAAAGGAACCUUUUUAGACGGGGAAAAAUUAAUGCUCCUCAUUUAAUAGUUUUACAUUUGUUUUGUUUUUUUGUGAAAGGAGCGAGAUUUGCUUCACAUCAAGCAGAAACGAGAUUUUAGAGAGCGUUGGAAAUACAUGCAGACGCAAAACCUGAAAGGCCACAGAUCUUUAUAAACUCUCAGGGCAUCAGUCUCGAUGAUGUCAUGGUUUGUGGAUCCUCUUGGGCACCUGACAUGUCGUCCAACGCAACUAUGAAACCGCAGCAAAGAUGCACUCACCGUCAUUCUAUCAUCAUGCAACGCUUAAUGCAUCAGAGAGCCUGUUUUGAAGCAGCCAGUCACAGAAAAUGUGCAAUCAUGUCUGAUAACAGCGCUACGAUUCAAAGCAAAGCAAAAAAGGCAAUUGUUUUUAUUCUGUCAUGUUUUGAACUCAAGAUAGCUAGCAAACACUAGAGACUUUGCUCCUUUAGCUUAGCUUCGUCCAGCGUGUUGUUAAUAUAAUCUGAAUAGAUCGUAGCACAGGG